rnacentral:rRNA from 1 species
UACGAAGGGGGCUAGCGUUGUUCGGAUUUACUGGGCGUAAAGCGCACGUAGGCGGAUCGAUCAGUCAGGGGUGAAAUCCCAGGGCUCAACCCUGGAACUGCCUUUGAUACUGUCGAUCUGGAGUAUGGAAGAGGUGAGUGGAAUUCCGAGUGUAGAGGUGAAAUUCGUAGAUAUUCGGAGGAACACCAGUGGCGAAGGCGGCUCACUGGUCCAUUACUGACGCUGAUGCACGAAAGCUAGGGUAGCGAAAGGG